GCAGUCGAGCGGUAAGGCCUUUCGGGGUAACGAGCGGCGAACGGGUGAGUAACACGUGGGUGAUCUGCCCUGCACUCUGGGAUAAGCUUGGGAAACUGGGUCUAAUACCGGAUAUGACCACAUGAUGCAUGUGGUGUGGUGGAAAGAUUUAUCGGUGCAGGAUGGGCCCGCGGCCUAUCAGCUUGUUGGUGGGGUAAUGGCCUACCAAGGCGACGACGGGUAGCCGACCUGAGAGGGUGACCGGCCACACUGGGACUGAGACACGGCCCAGACUCCUACGGGAGGCAGCAGUGGGGAAUAUUGCACAAUGGGCGGAAGCCUGAUGCAGCGACGCCGCGUGAGGGAUGAAGGCCUUCGGGUUGUAAACCUCUUUCAGCAGGGACGAAGCGUGAGUGACGGUACCUGCAGAAGAAGCACCGGCUAACUACGUGCCAGCAGCCGCGGUAAUACGUAGGGUGCGAGCGUUGUCCGGAAUUACUGGGCGUAAAGAGUUCGUAGGCGGUUUGUCGCGUCGUUUGUGAAAACCCGGGGCUCAACUUCGGGCUUGCAGGCGAUACGGGCAGACUUGAGUGUUUCAGGGGAGACUGGAAUUCCUGGUGUAGCGGUGAAAUGCGCAGAUAUCAGGAGGAACACCGGUGGCGAAAGCGGGUCUCUGGGAAACAACUGACGC
rnacentral:rRNA from 1 species